rnacentral:rRNA from 1 species
UACGUAGGGUGCAAGCGUUAAUCGGAAUUACUGGGCGUAAAGGGCGCGUAGGCGGCCCGCUAAGUCGAACGUGAAAUCCCCGAGCUCAACUCGGGAACUGCGUCCGAUACUGGCGGGCUUGAAUCCGGGAGAGGGAUGCGGAAUUCCAGGUGUAGCGGUGAAAUGCGUAGAUAUCUGGAGGAACACCGGUGGCGAAGGCGGGUCUCUGGGCCGAUACUGACGCUGAGGAGCGAAAGCGUGGGGAGCGAACAGG